GGAUUAGAUACCCUGGUAGUCCACGCCCUAAACGAUGUCAACUAGCCGUUGGAGGAAUUUAAUCCUUUAGUGGCGCAGCUAACGCGUUAAGUUGACCGCCUGGGGAGUACGGCCGCAAGGUUAAAACUCAAAGGAAUUGACGGGGGCCCGCACAAGCGGUGGAGCAUGUGGUUUAAUUCGAUGCAACGCGAAGAACCUUACCAGGCCUUGACAUCCUGAGAACUUUCUAGAGAUAGAUUGGUGCCUUCGGGAACUCAGUGACAGGUGCUGCAUGGCUGUCGUCAGCUCGUGUCG
rnacentral:rRNA from 1 species